rnacentral:rRNA from 1 species
UGCGUAGGCGGUUCUGUAAGUAUGGUGUGAAAUCUCCCGGCUUAACUGGGAGGGUGCGCUAUAGACUGCGGGACUCGAGUGUGGGAGAGGAAAGUGGAAUUCCUGGUGUAGCGGUGAAAUGCGUAGAUAUCAGGAGGAACACCGGUGGUGUAAACGGCUUUCUGGACCAUAACUGACGCUGAGGCACGAAAGCGUGGGUAGCAAACAGGAUUAGAUACCCUGGUAGUCCACGCCCUAAACGAUGCAUAUUUGGUGUGGGUCAUUCAGUUGAUCCGUGCCGGAGCUAACGCGUUAAAUAUGCCGCCUGGGGAGUACAGUCGCAAGGCUGAA